UCCUACGGGAGGCAGCAGUAGGGAAUCUUCCGCAAUGGACGAAAGUCUGACGGAGCAACGCCGCGUGAGUGAUGAAGGCUUUCGGGUCGUAAAACUCUGUUGUUAGGGAAGAACAAGUGCUAGUUGAAUAAGCUGGCACCUUGACGGUACCUAACCAGAAAGCCACGGCUAACUACGUGCCAGCAGCCGCGGUAAUACGUAGGUGGCAAGCGUUAUCCGGAAUUAUUGGGCGUAAAGCGCGCGCAGGUGGUUUCUUAAGUCUGAUGUGAAAGCCCACGGCUCAACCGUGGAGGGUCAUUGGAAACUGGGAGACUUGAGUGCAGAAGAGGAAAGUGGAAUUCCAUGUGUAGCGGUGAAAUGCGUAGAGAUAUGGAGGAACACCAGUGGCGAAGGCGACUUUCUGGUCUGUAACUGACACUGAGGCGCGAAAGCGUGGGGAGCAAACAGGAUUAGAUACCCUGGUAGUCCACGCCGUAAACGAUGAGUGCUAAGUGUUAGAGGGUUUCCGCCCUUUAGUGCUGAAGUUAACGCAUUAAGCACUCCGCCUGGGGAGUACGGCCGCAAGGCUGAAACUCAAAGGAA
rnacentral:rRNA from 1 species